AAUACUGCAGUACCUUUGAUUUCAGCUGGCUUGCCAUUGGCUGAUUUUAGCUGGCUUGUCAUUCGUUGAUUUCACGUUUUGAUUUUUGAUUGGCUGUAUGGAUUCAAAACGGCUUAUGUCACAGCAUAUAUGUGAUGUAGCAUCACUGCCAAUGCACCAUUCCAUUAGUAGGUCCCUGUUUAUAUUCAAUGAAACAUGAUAAUAAACAGUGAUAAUACUAUCCUGAUUAUCUUCAUACUGAAUAUUGGAAACACGUAAUCAUUGUUCAGUUUUGGAUCUUCCAGUAACCUGUGCUAGUUCAGCAUUAUGAUUAUCCCUUUUCUUCUUCAAGCUUUGAUGUGCCCUAUAUCCAUGAUUGUGGCAGUAAAAACAUUCAAUGUGUUUUACUUCAUUAGUUUUAA
rnacentral:misc_RNA from 1 species